rnacentral:rRNA from 1 species
AUUGAACGCUGGCGGCAUGCCUUACACAUGCAAGUCGAACGGCAGCACGGGGCAACCUGGUGGCGAGUGGCGAACGGGUGAGUAAUGCAUCGGAACGUACCUUUCAGUGGGGGAUAACGUAGCGAAAGUUACGCUAAUACCGCAUAUUCUGUGAGCAGGAAAGCAGGGGAUCGCAAGACCUUGCGCUGAUUGAGCGGCCGAUGUCAGAUUAGCUAGUUGGGGAGGUAAAGGCUCACCAAGGCGACGAUCUGUAGCGGGUCCGAGAGGAUGAUCCGCAACACUGGAACUGAGACACGGUCCAGACUCCUACGGGAGGCAGCAGUGGGGAAUUUUGGACAAUGGGGGCAACCCUGAUCCAGCCAUGCCGCGUGAGUGAAGAAGGCCUUCGGGUUGUAAAGCUCUUUCGGCCGGGAAGAAAUCGCACGGGCUAAUACCCUGUGUGGAUGACGGUACCGGAAUAAGAAGCACCGGCUAACUACGUGCCAGCCGCCGCGGUAAAAC